rnacentral:rRNA from 3 species
UAAGGGAGCUAUGCUGAGAGUGCUCCACCUGUUCCCAUUCCGAACACAGAAGUGAAAUCUCUUAUGGCCGAUGAUAGUGGGUCACCGCGAAAGUAGGUAGCUCUCUUAC